CUGGCGGUGUGCCUCAUACAUGCAAGUCGAACGAGAAGCUCGCUUCGGUGAGUGGAAAGUGGCGGACGGGUGAGUAAUAUGUAGGAAAUCUGCCCUAGAGAGGGGGACAACAGAGGGAAACUUCUGCUAAUACCCCAUACGAGCUUGGUUGAAAUACCAAUCUUGAAAACUCCGGUGCUCUAGGAUGAGCCUGCAUCUGAUUAGCUAGUUGGUGGUGUAAUGGACCACAAAGGCGACGAUCAGUAGCUGGUUUGAGAGGAUGAUCAGCCACAAUGGGACUGAGACACGGCCCAUACUCCUACGGGAGGCAGCAGUAGGGAAUUUUGCGCAAUGGGGGAAACCCUGAACCGCAGCAACACCGCGUGAAUGUUAAGCCCUUCGGGGUAUAAAGUUCUGUCAAUGGGGAAGAAUAAAUGACUGUACCCAUAAAGGAAGCACCGGCUAACUCCGUGCCAGCAGCAGC
rnacentral:rRNA from 1 species